AACUCUUAGCGGUGGAUCACUCGCUGCGUCGAUGAAGAAACGCAGCUAGCUGCGAGAAACUAAUGUGAAUUGCAGACACAUGAUCAUCGACACUCGAACGCACCUUGCGCCCCGGGUUCCUCCCGGGCUACGCCUGUCUGAGGGUCG
rnacentral:rRNA from 1 species